rnacentral:rRNA from 1 species
UUAACUUAGAGUUUGAUCCUAGCUCAGGGUGAACGCUGGCGACGUGGAUAAGGCAUGCAAGUCGAGUGGGUUUAGACCCACGGCAGACGAGGUAGUAACAUGUAGGAACGUACUCCAAAGUCAGGAAUAAUCAGUCGAAAGGCUGAAUAAUACUUGAUAUCCCGCAAGGGGAAAGAUUUAUCGCUUUGGAAGCGGCCUGCACAAUAUCAGCUAGUUGGUGAGGUAAUGGCUCACCAAGGCUAUGACGUUUAGGGGAGCUGAGAGGCUGACCCCCACCGAUGGAACUGAGAAACGGUCCUUACUCCUACGGGAGGCCGCAGUCGAGAAUCUUCCGCAAUGGGCGAAAGCCUGACGGAGCGACGUCGCGUGAUGGAUGAAGUGCUUCGGUACGUAAACAUCUUUUAUAGGGGAAGAAGUAAUUGACAUUGCCCUAUGAAUAAGGGGCUCCUAACUCUGUGCCAGCAGGAGCGGUAAUACAGAGGCCCCAAGCGUUACCCGGAAUUACUGGGCGUAAAGGGUGUGUAGGUGGUCGUAUUAGUCGAUCGUGAAAUCUCCCGGCUUAACCGGGAACCCGCGAUCGAAACGGUACGACUAGAGGGCGCGAGAGGUAUGUGGAACUCAUGGUGUAGGGGUGAAAUCCGUUGAUAUCAUGGGGAACACCAAAAGCGAAGGCAGCAUACUGGCGCGUUCCUGACACUCAAACACGAAAGCGUGGGUAGCGAACGGGAUUAGAUACCCCGGUAGUCCACGCCCUAAACGAUGAUAACUGGCUUUUCGGAGUAUCGACCCUCUGAGAGGCGAAGCUAACGCGUUAAGUUAUCCGCCUGGGUAGUACGGUCGCAAGACUAAAACUCAAAGGAAUAGACGGGGGCUCGCACAAGUGGUGGAGCGUGUGGCUUAAUUCGUCGCUAAGCGAAGAACCUUACCAAGGUUAGAAAUCCAACUGCAAGCCUGCGGAAACGUGGGAAUCCUUCGAGGGUGUUGGACAGGUGAUGCAUGGCUGUCGUCAGUUCGUGGUUUGAAUUGUUCCCUUCAGUGGGGUAACGAACGCAACCUUCGUUGCCUGUUAUACGUGUCAGGCGAGACUGCCCCCUCACGGGGGAGGAAGGUGGAGAUGACGCCAAGUCAGCAUGUCCCUCUGAUAUCUUGGGCUGCACACGCGCUACAAUCGCCGUUACAAAGAGACGCAAUACCGUAAGGUGGAGCAAAUCUUGAAAGGCGGCGCCAGUUCGGAUUGAGGUCUGCAACCCGACCUCAUGAAGCCGGAAUCACUAGUAAUCGCGGAUCAGCCACGCCGCGGUGAAUACGUUCUCGAGCCUUGUACUCACCGCCCGUCAACUCAAGGGAGCCGGGAAGACCGGAAGACCUCGCUCGUCGAGGUUCAGGGUAAGCUCGGUAACAGGGAGUAAGUCGUAACAAGGCACGGGUAGGGGAACCUGCUCGUGGAAUUAUUCCAAA